rnacentral:rRNA from 1 species
UACGUAGGGUGCGAGCGUUAAUCGGAAUUACUGGGCGUAAAGCGUGCGCAGGCGGUUCUCCAAGUCCGUUGUGAAAGCCCCGGGCUCAACCUGGGAACUGCGUCUGAUACUGGACGGCUGGAGUUUGGGAGAGGGAUGUAGAAUUCCAGGUGUAGCGGUGGAAUGCGUAGAUAUCUGGAGGAAUACCGGUGGCGAAGGCGGCAUCCUGGACCAAUACUGACGCUGAGGCGCGAAAGCUAGGGGAGCAAACGGG